rnacentral:rRNA from 1 species
UACGGAGGGAGCUUGCGUUGUUCGGAAUUACUGGGCGUAAAGCGUGCGCAGGCGGUUUUGUAAGUCUGUCGUGAAAUCCCCGGGCUCAACCUGGGAAUUGCGAUGGAGACUGCAAGGCUAGAAUCUGGCAGAGGGGGGUAGAAUUCCACGUGUAGCAGUGAAAUGCGUAGAGAUGUGGAGGAACACCGAUGGCGAAGGCAGCCCCCUGGGUCAAGAUUGACGCUCAUGCACGAAAGCGUGGGGAGCAAACAGG